rnacentral:rRNA from 1 species
GACGGACGCUGGCGGCGUGCCUAAUACAUGCAAGUAGAACGCUGAAGGAGGAGCUUGCUUCUCUGGAUGAGUUGCGAACGGGUGAGUAACGCGUAGGUAACCUGCCUGGUAGCGGGGGAUAACUAUUGGAAACGAUAGCUAAUACCGCAUAAGAGUAGAUGUUGCAUGACAUUUGCUUAAAAGGUGCAAUUGCAUCACUACCAGAUGGACCUGAGUUGUAUUAGCGAGAUGGUUGGGUAACGGCUUACCAAGGUGACGAUACAUAGCCGACGCGGGAAGGGGGUCGGCCAACAUUGGAAUGGAGACCCGCCCCAACUCCUUCCGGAGGCCACAGUAGGGGAUCAUCGGCAAUGGACGGAAGUCUGACCGAGCAACGGCGCGUGAGUGAAGAAGGUUUUCGGAUCGUAAAGCUCUGUUGUGAGGGAAGAACGAGUGUGAGGGUGGAAAGUUCACGCUGUGACGGUAUCUUACCAGAAAGCGACGGCUAACUACGUG